CUCAUUUCAAACCAUAAGUUUCCAUGUCUAAUUUUGAUUGUCCGUUUUAUUUAAAACUUUUUUACAAUUAGUAUUUUUAUUGUUAUAAUAUGAUAAAACAUGAAUUGUAUUUUAUGCGUGACUUAUGUUUUUAAUUUUUAUUAAUUUUUUUAAAAUAAAACGGAUGAUUGAAGUUGGGCAAGAAAAAUUAUGACUACACUUAAA
rfam:Oryza sativa (indica cultivar-group) chromosome 3, whole genome shotgun sequence.